GAAAUCGACACCAUUCAACAGUUGAUGUGUGAUGUCCUGAUAAAUCAAAAGAGUUUAGUCACUGCCUAGUACUCAAGGUCAAUAAAUUACACACCUUGAUUUUCCACUCUGGCAGUCCCGGUUGAGGGCAGUUCUCGAGGUAAACACUGAGAUCCUGCUCAAUGUGCUCGAAUACAAGUGAGAG